rnacentral:rRNA from 1 species
UACGUAGGGUGCGAGCGUUGUCCGGAAUUAUUGGGCGUAAAGAGCUCGUAGGCGGUUUGUCGCGUCUGCCGUGAAAGUCCGGGGCUCAACUCCGGAUCUGCGGUGGGUACGGGCAGACUAGAGUGAUGUAGGGGGGACUGGAAUUCCUGGUGUAGCGGUGAAAUGCGCAGAUAUCAGGAGGAACACCGAUGGCGAAGGCAGGUCUUUGGGCAUUAACUGACGCUGAGGAGCGAAAGCAUGGGGAGCGAACAGGA